rnacentral:misc_RNA from 1 species
GAUGAAGAACGUAGCGAAAUGCGAUAAGUAACGUGAAUUGCAGAAUUCAGUGAAUCAUCGAAUCUUUGAACGCACAUUGCGCCCGCCAGUAUUCUGGCGGGCAUGCCUGUCUGAGCGUCAUUUCAACCCUCAUGCCCCUAGGGCGUGGUGUUGGGGAUCGGCCAAAGCCCGCGAGGGACGGCCGGCCCCUAAAUCUAGUGGCGGACCCGUCGUGGCCUCCUCUGCGAAGUAGUGAUAUUCCGCAUCGGAGAGCGAUGAGCCCCUGCCGUUAAACCCCCAACUUUCCAAGGUUGACCUCAGAUCAGGUAGGAAUACCCGCUGAACUUAAGCAUAUCAAUAAGCGGAGGA